AUGUUCAUACUGGUUGUGGUCAAUUUAUUUUGGCAGAUCUUGGAGGCUGAUACUCCCAUUUCUUACUUCGGGAAUUCUUCAACUGAUAAUUUCCGAUGGCCUCUGGACAGAAUAGUGGAGAGGGAGCAGGCUUUGGAAGCUCGUGUAUUUGUUGGGAUUAAAGUUUUGAUCAUCCAAGAGGUUGAGAAGCUGCUAGAGUCAAUUGAUGGAGCCAUAGUCAGUCAGAUGAACAUUCUCAUCCUCAGAACUCCGGGCGGUUGUGAUUUCAGCUGCGUUGACUCCGCGCAGAUGAGAUCGCCUUGCCUGCAAGAGGACAUGAUUUAA
rnacentral:rRNA from 1 species